CUGGUAGUACUAGAAACUGAAGUCUUCUUUUUUUAUCCAUGGGAUAGAUACAGGCGGGCGCUCAGUGUGAGCCUCUCCCUGCUGCUCCGGCAAUGGCCUGCAGGGAUGGCCUUCCCUCUUAGAAGACAGGACGUCCAGUCUCCAUAGCAGCUCAGUUCUGGUCUUCU
rnacentral:sRNA from 1 species